UACGAAGGGGGCUAGCGUUGCUCGGAAUCACUGGGCGUAAAGGGUGCGUAGGCGGGUUCUUAAGUCAGGGGUGAAAUCCUGGAGCUCAACUCCAGAACUGCCUUUGAUACUGAGAGUCUUGAGUUCGGGAGAGGUGAGUGGAACUGCGAGUGUAGAGGUGAAAUUCGUAGAUAUUCGCAAGAACACCAGUGGCGAAGGCGGCUCACUGGCCCGAUACUGACGCUGAGGUGCGAAAGCGUGGGGAGCAAACAGG
rnacentral:rRNA from 1 species